rnacentral:rRNA from 1 species
CUUGGUCAUUUAGAGGAAGUAAAAGUCGUAACAAGGUUUCCGUAGGUGAACCUGCGGAAGGAUCAUUAUCGUACAACGGAGGUGCAAGGGCUGUCGCUGACCUUCAAAGGUUGUGCACGCCCAAGUGCUCUCUCACAUCCUUCUCACCCCUUUGUGCAUCACCGCGUGGGCCCCUCUUUGCGGAGAAGGCCUGCGUUUUCACAUAAAACUUGAUACAGUGUAGAAUGUCUUUUUGCGGUCACACGCAAUCAAUACAACUUUCAACAACGGAUCUCUUGGCUCUCGCAUCGAUGAAGAACGCAGCGAAAUGCGAUACGUAAUGUGAAUUGCAGAAUUCAGUGAAUCAUCGAAUCUUUGAACGCACCUUGCGCCCCUUGGCAUUCCGAGGGGCACACCCGUUUGAGUGUCGUGAAAUUAUCAAAACCUUUUCUUUGAGAAAAGGAUUUUGGACUUGGAGGUUUUUAUGCUUGCUUUCGUGUCUCGAAAGUGAGCUCCUCUCAAAUGAAUUAGUGGGGUCUGCUUUGCUGGUCCUUGACGUGAUAAGAUGUUUUGACGUUUUGGACUUGGCACUGUCUCUUGGAUGCCUGCUUCUAACUGUCCAUCUCAUGGACAAUGAUGGUGCUCUGGUCUCUUCCAUCCACAUUGGCGGGAGGCUGGACCCACAAAAAACCUUGACCUCAAAUCGGGUGAGACUACCCGCUGAACUUAAGCAUAUCAAUAAGCGGAGGAAAAGAAACUAACAAGGAUUCCCCUAGUAACUGCGAGUGAAGCGGGAAAAGCUCAAAUUUAAAAUCUGGUGGUCUUUGGCCAUCCGAGUUGUAAUUUAGAGAAGCGUCUUCCGCGCUGGACCGUGUACAAGUCUCCUG